GGGGAAGUAGGUAGAUACAGUAGGUACAGUAGAUAUAUACAGUAGGUAGGUACAGUAGGUACAGUAGAUAUAUACAGUAGUUAGAUACAGUAGGUACAGUAGGGAAAGUAGGUGGUAAAGUAGAUACAGUAGAUAGAUACAGUAGGUAGGUACAGUAGGUACAGUAGUUAGAUACAGUAGAUGCAGUAGGUAGAUACAGGAGGUACGGUAGGGAAAGUAGGUAGAUGCAGUAGAUACAGUAGGUACAGUACAUAGAUACAGUAGCUACAGUAGGGGAGGUAGGUAGAUACAGUAGGUGAAGUAGAUACAGUAGAUGCAGUAGGUACAGUGGGUAGAUAAAGUAGGUAGGUACAGUAGGUAGAGAUUCAGUAGGUACAGUAGAUAGAUAGUAGGUGAAGUAGAGGCAGUAGAUACAGUAGGUAUAGAUUCAGUAGGUACAGUAGAUAGAUACAGUAAGUGCAUUAGGUAGACACAUUAGCUACAGUAGGUACAGUAGGUACGGUAGGGAAAGUAGGUAGAUGCAGUAGAUACAGUAGGUACAGUACAUAGAUACAGUAGCUACAGUAGGGGAAGGUAGGUAGAUACAGUAGGUGAAGUAGAUACAGUAGGUGAAGUAGAUACAGUAGGUGAAGUAGAUACAGUAGAUGCAGUAGGUACAGUGGGUAGAUAAAGUAGGUAGAGAUUCAGUAGGUACAGUAGAUAGAUAGUAGGUGAAGUAGAGGCAGUAGAUACAGUAGGUAGAGA
rnacentral:lncRNA from 1 species